GUGAAUUGUGUCUGAAUUUUGAUUAGUUGAUCUCUUUCUUCUGUGAAAAGAAGUUCCUGUAAUGAUGGCUAGGAUCUACAUUUAUUUAUGGGUAUAAAGAUGCUCGAGGUGUCUAGAUCAAGAUGCCAGCAGGCUUGGUGCCAGAGACUUGACAGCUUAACAUGUUGAUUACAUCUCACUAGACGUGCGGAAGGGAUAUCAAUGUUUUCUAAGCAG